rfam:Chelonia mydas contig206270, whole genome shotgun sequence.
GCACUGCUAGUACAGUGCAUGCCAUGACCACGAAGGUAGUUUUCCAAGGAUGAGGCUCAUCUGUUGCACUGCAGGUGUGCUGACCCCUGCAAUUUCCCCAAAUGCGGGAAACUUGACUGCAUAAUUUGUGGUAGUGGGGUACUGCAUUCACACUCCCCUG